rnacentral:rRNA from 1 species
GAGUUUGAUCCUGGCUCAGAUUGAACGCUGGCGGCAUGCCUUACACAUGCAAGUCGAACGGCAGCAUGAUCUAGCUUGCUAGAUUGAUGGCGAGUGGCGAACGGGUGAGUAAUUCAUCGGAACGUGCCCUGUAGUGGGGGAUAACUGGUCGAAAGAUUAGCUAAUACCGCAUACGACCUGAGGGUGAAAGUGGGGGACCGCAAGGCCUCAUGCUAUAGGAGCGGCCGAUGUCUGAUUAGCUAGUUGGUGGGGUAAAGGCCCACCAAGGCGACGAUCAGUAGCUGGUCUGAGAGGACGAUCAGCCACACUGGGACUGAGACACGGCCCAGACUCCUACGGGAGGCAGCAGUGGGGAAUUUUGGACAAUGGGCGAAAGCCUGAUCCAGCAAUGCCGCGUGUGUGAAGAAGGCCUCGG